AGCGGGGUGGAGCAAUGGUAGCUUGCCAGGCUCAUAACCUGGAGGUUCCCGGUUCGAGUCCGGGUCCCGCAA
rnacentral:tRNA from 1 species